rnacentral:tmRNA from 1 species
GGGGGUGUACCGGAUUCGAUUGGCAGCGUUCGGUGUGGAUUGCAUGUCGAUGAUGAUCGUUGGCCUCGUAAAACAUCGGUCGAAACAAUAAUUGCGAACGAAGAGUACGCACUGGCUGCUUAAAUUGACGGCCUCGUCCACUUGCUGAUGAGUGUUAGGCAAAGUUGGGCGUCAUA